UGUAACCUUCGGGGCGAGGUGGAAUUCCUCGACCGGCGGUAAGAGCCCGCUAGCCUCAGCACGCCGGCAGAGUGUGCUGGCAGAGCCGGUGAAAUUCCGGCGCCGACGGCAAUAGUCCGGAUGGGAGAAGGUGAGG
rnacentral:ncRNA from 2 species